rnacentral:rRNA from 1 species
AUUGAACGCUGGCGGAAUGCUUUACACAUGCAAGUCGAACGGCAGCACGGACUUCGGUCUGGUGGCGAGUGGCGAACGGGUGAGUAAUACAUCGGAACGUGCCCAGUCGUGGGGGAUAACGUAGCGAAAGCUACGCUAAUACCGCAUACGAUCUAGGGAUGAAAGCGGGGGACCGUAAGGCCUCGCGCGAUUGGAGCGGCCGAUGGGAGAGUCGGGGGUUGGUGGGGUAAAGGCUCACCAAGCCGACGAUCUGUAGCUGGUCUGAGAGGACGACCAGCCACAGUGGGGCGUAGACACGGCCCAGACGCCUACGGGAGGCAGAUGUGGGGAAUUUUGGAGAAUGGGCGCAAGCCUGAUCCAACCAUUCCGCGUGCAGGAUGAAGGCCCUCGGGUUGUAAACUGCUUUGGUACGGAACGAAAAGCUCUGGGUUAAUACCCUGGGGUCAUGACGGUACCGUAAGAAUAAGCACCGGCUAACUACGUGCCAGCCGCCGCCGUAA